UACAGAGGGUGCAAGCGUUAAUCGGAAUUACUGGGCGUAAAGGGUGUGUAGGUGGUUAUGUAAGUCAGGUGUGAAACCCUCAGGCUUAACCUGAGAUUGUCGCUUGAUACUGCAUAGCUAGAGUACUGUAGAGGGUAGUGGAAUUUCCAGUGUAGCGGUGAAAUGCGUAGAUAUUGGAAGGAACACCAGUGGCGAAGGCGACUAUCUGGACAGUUACUGACACUGAGACACGAAAGCAUGGGGAGCAAACAGG
rnacentral:rRNA from 1 species